CAAAAUGAGUUUGAUCUUAUUAUAUGUAUACGUACAUUUUAAUUUUUCUCACGCAUAUAAAUACAUAAAUUCAAGCCGAAAGCAACACGCUCAUCACCGAACCUGCUCUUGAUCCGUUUGUAAUUUGAGAUAUACGAGCACAGAAUAACCCAAGAUAGCAAGUCAGUGAGCUGUAUGACUACGACAUACAGAGGAAAAUCCAGACUAUUAAAUAUAUAUAUUGGAAAGCAAGCAAACUCUUAAAUGUAAUGUUGCUUACAUUAAGAUUAAAUAGUACAGCAGAGCAGACGAAACCAGACUAGAAUCAUAACCUUGUGUCAGGACCUAAGGGCCAAGGGCAGUCUCAGGUAGACAGUUAUUAUAGGUAUAGGUCUUCCAAAAGAUAAAAGAGGUGUGCAAAUGUUUCCUCGGGCCAGAGAAGAUUGCAGCUCGAGUGCAAAGGUAGAAGGGAGUUUGAUUGCAAGACUCACCCAUGAGUAGGACGAAAGGGUCGCAGAUGGAAUGCCACACAUGCCUGGGAAUGCCAGUAUGAUAAGUAACGGAGAGUUUCCACCUUUACUUGCCCUAGACAAAAAUCAGAAGCUUAAUAAUUGGCAUUGGCGACUCAAGUGACUGUUUUCUUACACUAGAAAAUCAAUGUGCAGAAUUAUACACCAUAAAAGCUUUAUAAGAGACUGCGCUGACGGGUUGACAUUACUAACAGUUGAAAUCCCCAGAGCAGAACCAGUAAAGAAAAUAAACACAGUAAGCAUGUUUUGAUGCUGUAGAUACAAAAUUACUGUAGUUCGAUGCAUUCAGCAGGAAACUUAUAGGGGGGAGGAGAAGCAUUAAUAGGAAAACACAGGAAACCAACGUUUUCUAAUAUUUUGAUAGUGAUUGUUUGGUUUAAGCUAAAAAUAAAUUUAACUUCCAAGCUUGUAUUCAUUCAACUCUUAAUAGAAGAAAGGAGCCAUCACAUUGCAUACAAAAAAGUUAAUUUAAGCAUCCAAGAUGAUGUCCUCACCUACAACUAAUUGAGACCUCAAGAAAUAGCAACUUAGAGGGCAACUUUUUACACCAACCAAGCUGACUGAUAAGGCAAAUUAUAUUCUGGCAGAGAGGGAUCGUGCAAGCAAGUCUGCAGGCACCUCUGAUCAGAUGAAAUCUCUAAAACAGACAAUGUUUGGAAAACAAUGGGAGUAGAUUGAUGGUAGUUCACCCCUAAAACAUACAAUGUGGAAGAAAUAAACCGACUGAAAGAUAGCAAACAAUAUUCUCCAUUGAGUUGGGCAAAAGUGCAAGGUUUUGAUUUCACUGACAAAAUUGUAAAUAAAGUCUCACAAGGCAAAUAAUAUCAGAAAUAA